CCAAGUCACCAUUGUAAGCUCGUCAACCAUAUGCUGACACCAGCAAACAUGUUGAUACCAUUAAAAUGGAAGAGCACUAACGUUCCAUCAGUACGGGAGUGGAUACAGAAGGUGGAAUUCAUACAGAUCAUGGAAGAAUUAGACGUAUCAUACUCAAAUAAAUAUACCGUAUACACCCUAACAUGGCAACCAUGGUUGACCUAUCUAGGUCGAUAGGGCCAUUUGAG